rnacentral:rRNA from 1 species
AACGAACGCUGGCGGCGUGCCUGAGACAUGCAAGUCGUGGGAGAAAGUCGGAGCAAUCCGGCUAGUAAACCGGCGCACGGGUGAGUAACACGUGGACAACCCGCCUUGGAGUUCGGGAUAACCCGUCGAAAGACGGACUAAUACCGGAUAUGACCACGGGGAGUUCGCUCUCUGAGGUAAAAGAUGGCCUCUGCUCCUGCAAGCUAUCCUCUUCGAGGAGGGGUCCGCGUCCUAUCAGCUAGUUGGU